UACGAAGGGGGCUAGCGUUGCUCGGAAUCACUGGGCGUAAAGGGCGCGUAGGCGGACUCUUAAGUCGGGGGUGAAAGCCCAGGGCUCAACCCUGGAAUUGCCUUCGAUACUGAGAGUCUUGAGUUCGGAAGAGGUUGGUGGAACUGCGAGUGUAGAGGUGAAAUGCGUAGAUAUUCGCAAGAACACCAGUGGCGAAGGCGGCCAACUGGUCCGAUACUGACGCUGAGGCGCGAAAGCGUGGGGAGCAAACAGG
rnacentral:rRNA from 1 species